rfam:Triticum aestivum genome assembly, contig: Triticum_aestivum_CS42_TGACv1_scaffold_406778_5BL
CAUUUACUCCUUCCGUCCCAAAAUUCUUGUCUUAGAUUUGUCUAAAUACGGAUGUAUCAAGUCACGUUUUAGUAUUAGAUACAUCCGUAUCUAGACAAAUCUAAGACUAAGAAUUUUGGGAUGGAGGGAGUACAAU